GACGUAGGGCGCGAGCGUUGUCCGGAUUUAUUGGGCGUAAAGAGCUCGUAGGCGGCUUGUCGCGUCGGCUGUGAAAUCCCGUGGCUCAACUGCGGGUCUGCAGCCGAUACGGGCAGGCUAGAGUUCGGUAGGGGAGACUGGAAUUCCUGGUGUAGCGGUGAAAUGCGCAGAUAUCAGGAGGAACACCGAUGGCGAAGGCGGGUCUCUGGGCCGAUAUUGACGCUGAGGAGCGAAAGCGUGGGGAGCGAACAGG
rnacentral:rRNA from 1 species